GGGCGAAANCCUGAUGCAGCAACGCCGCGUGAGUGAUGAAGGCCUUCGGGUUGUAAAGCUCUGUCUUUGGGGACGAUAAUGACGGUACCCAAGGAGGAAGCCNCGGCUAACUACGUGCCAGCAGCCGCGGUAAUACGUAGGUGGCGAGCGUUAUCCGGAAUUAUUGGGCGUAAAGAAUGCGUAGGUGGACUNUUAAGUCAGAUGUGAAAUCCCCGAGCUUAACUNGGGAACUGCAUUUGAAACUGGGAGCCUGGAGUGCAGGAGAGGUAAGUGGAAUUCCUAGUGUAGCGGUGAAAUGCGUAGAUAUUAGGAAGAACANCNGUGGCGAAGGCGACUUNCUGGACUGUAACUGACACUGAGGCANGAAAGCGUGGGGAGCAAACAGGAUUAGAUACCCNGGUAGUCCNCGCCGUAAACUAUGGGUACUAGGUGUGGGAGGUAUCGANUCCUUCCGUGCCG
rnacentral:rRNA from 1 species